GCUAGCUAGCUCAGUCGGUAGAGCAUGAGACUUUAGCUCAGUGUCAUGGGUUUGUGUCCCAUGUUGGGCA
rnacentral:tRNA from 1 species